GAUGAACGCUAGCGGCAGGCUUAACACAUGCAAGUCGAGGGGUAAUUCUGGUGCUUGCACUGGAAACGACCGGCGGACGGGUGAGUAACGCGUAUGCAACCUGCCCUUAACUAAGGGAUAGCUCCCGGAAACGGGAAUUAAUAUCUUAUAAUAUCCGGGUAUCGCAUGGUUUUCGGAUUAAAGCUUCGGCGGUUAAGGAUGGGCAUGCGUGACAUUAGCUUGUUGGUGAGGUAACGGCUCACCAAAGCGACGAUGUCUAGGGGGCCUGAGAGGGUGGUCCCCCACACUGGUACUGAGACACGGACCAGACUCCUACGGGAGGCAGCAGUGAGGAAUAUUGGGCAAUGGGCGGAAGCCUGACCCAGCCAUGCCGCGUGCAGGAUGACAGCCCUACGGGUUGUAAACUGGUUUUGUACGGGAAGAAACCUUCGGACGUGUCCGGAGCUGACGGUACUGUACGAAUAAGCAUCGGCUAACUCCGUGCCAGCAGCCGCGGUAAUACGGAGGAUGCAAGCGUUAUCCGGAUUUAUUGGGUUUAAAGGGUGCGUAGGCGGAGAAUUAAGUCAGUGGUGAAAUCUUACCGCUUAACGGUAAAAUUGCCAUUGAUACUGAUUCCCUUGAGUACAGUUGAGGUGGGUGGAAUGUGUAAUGUAGCGGUGAAAUGCUUAGAUAUUACAUAGAACACCGAUUGCGAAGGCAGCUCACUAAACUGUUACUGACGCUGAGGCACGAAAGGGUGGGGAGCGAACAGGAUUAGAUACCCUGGUAGUCCACGCUGUAAACGAUGAUCACUCGUUGUUGGCGAUAUAUUGUCAGCGACUAAGCAAAAGCAUUAAGUGAUCCACCUGGGGAGUACGGCCGCAAGGUUGAAACUCAAAGGAAUUGACGG
rnacentral:rRNA from 1 species